CCUACGGGAGGCAGCAGUGGGGAAUAUUGGGCAAUGGGCGAAAGCCUGACCCAGCAACGCCGCGUGAAGGAAGAAGGCUUUCGGGUUGUAAACUUCUUUUGACAGGGAAGAGCAGAAGACGGUACCUGUCGAAUAAGCCACGGCUAACUACGUGCCAGCAGCCGCGGUAAUACGUAGGUGGCAAGCGUUGUCCGGAUUUACUGGGUGUAAAGGGGGCGCAGACGGCGAUGCAAGCCAGGAGUGAAAGCCAGGGGCCCAACCCCGGGACUGCCCUUGGAACUGCGUGGCUGGAGUGCAGGUGGGGCAGGCGGAAUUCCUGGUGUAGCGGUGAAAUGCGUAGAUAUCAGGAGGAACACCGGUGGCGAAGGCGGCCUGCUGGACUGCAACUGACGUUGAGGCCCGAAAGCGUGGGGAGCAAACAGGAUUAGAUACCCCUGUAGUC
rnacentral:rRNA from 1 species